GACGUAGGGCGCAAGCGUUGUCCGGAUUUAUUGGGCGUAAAGAGCUCGUAGGCGGCUUGUUGCGUCGACCGUGAAAACCCACAGCUCAACUGUGGGCUUGCGGUUGAUACGGGCGGGCUGGAGUUCGGUAGGGGAGACUGGAAUUCCUGGUGUAGCGGUGAAAUGCGUUGAGAUCGGAAGGAACGCCCGUGGCGAAAGCGAGGUCCUGGACGUCUACUGACGCUGAGACGCGAAAGCUAGGGGAGCAAACGGG
rnacentral:rRNA from 1 species